UACGUAGGGUGCGAGCGUUGUCCGGAAUUACUGGGCGUAAAGAGCUCGUAGGUGGUUUGUCGCGUUGUUCGUGAAAACUCACAGCUUAACUGUGGGCGUGCGGGCGAUACGGGCAGACUGGAGUACUGCAGGGGGAGACUGGAAUUCCUGGUGUAGCGGUGGAAUGCGCAGAUAUCAGGAGGAACACCGGUGGCGAAGGCGGGUCUCUGGGCCGAUACUGACGCUGAGGAGCGAAAGCGUGGGGGAGC
rnacentral:rRNA from 1 species